rnacentral:rRNA from 1 species
UACAGAGGGGGCAAGCGUUGUUCGGAAUUACUGGGCGAAAGCGUGCGCAGGCGGUUCGUUGUGUCGGUGGUGAAAUCCCCGGGCUUAACCUGGGAAUGGCCAUGGAAACUGGCGAACUGGAGUGCGGCAGAGGGGGUGGAAUUCCGCGUGUAGCAGUGAAAUGCGUAGAGUAUGCGGAGGAACACCGAUGGCGAAGGCAAUCCCCUGGACCUGUACUGACGCUCAUGCACGAAAGCGUGGGGAGCAAACAGG